rnacentral:lncRNA from 9 species
CCACCCCAGCCUGUUCUCGGGGACUAACCUCUGGAGCUGAGGUCUCGGUGCCCAGCCCCCACACAGGCGUCUCAAUUUUUGGUGACUGUGCCCAUAGUUCAGAUGGUCCGUUGGGUUCUUGAUCGGCUUUUCCGUACUCCACCUUACUGCUACACUCUUCUCUGCAUCUGGAGAUUCCUCUGGUUUGUUUGAUCUUUCCCCCGUGAUCAUAGAAAUCCACAUUCCAGUGUGAAUGCUACAGAAGUGCUGUCACGGGAGUUGAGGAUACAGAAACUCAAGCUCCCACGGUUUGAAGAAGCAAUGUGGGCAUCUGCUUCACAAAGCUAAACUUAACUUGUUCUCCCUCCUUCCAUGAAUGCUGGAGUGUUCUGAUGCUAAGUUUUUUGUUAGAUUUGGGGAAACACAUAGAAAACUUCCAGAGACAUCAAUUCAAAAAGAGAACCAGCAACAGAACAAGUGUCCUCCUGCCAGACAUCCUUGGAGCCAGCUGAGUAAGAGCAGUACUGAAAUGGAUUCAGAAGUGGUUUUAUUCUCUCAUCAAAAAAUUGAGAGGGAUGUGCUCGCUUUGGCAGCACAUAUGCUGAAAUUGGAACGAUACAGAGAAGAUUAG